UGGGUAGUCUACCCCGAAAGGGACGGGAAUCUCCUAAACCAAUCUUAGUUCGGAUUGAGGGCUGCAACUCGCCCUCAUGAAGCUGGAAUCCGUAGUAAUCGCGUUUCAACAGAACGCGGUGAAUACGUCCCUGCUCCUU
rnacentral:rRNA from 1 species